UGUUUAGGUGUGGAACGUGUGCAGAGAGUCUAGUUGUGGGGGAACAGUAACUAUGAUGUUUAGAUGUGGAACGUGUGCAGAGAGUCUAGUUGUGGGGGAACAGUAACUAUGAUGUUUAGAUGUGGAACGUGUGCAGAGAGUCUUGUUGUGGGGGAACAGUAACUAUGAUGUUUAGAUGUGGAACGUGUGCAGAGAGUCUUGUUGUGGAGGAACAGUAACUAUGAUGUUUAGAUGUGGAAGUGGUGUGUGGAACGUGUGCAGAGAGUCUAGUUGUGGAGGAACAGUAACUAUGAUGUUUAGAUGUGGAAUGUGUGAAGAGAGCCUUGUUGUGGAGGAACAGUAACUAUGAUGUUUAGAUGUGGAAGUGGUGUGUGGAACGUGUGCAGAGAGUCUAGUUGUGGAGGAACAGUAACUAUGAUGUUUAGAUGUGGAAGUGGUGUGUGGAACGUGUGAAGAGAGGCUUGUGUGGAGGAACAGUAACUAUGAUGUUUAGAUGUGGAAGUGGUGUGUGGAACGUGUGCAGAGAGUCUAGUUGUGGGGGAACAGUAACUAUGAUGUUUAGAUGUGGAACGUGUGCAGAGAGUCUAGUUGUGGGGGAACAGUAACUAUGAUGUUUAGAUGUGGAACGUGUGCAGAGAGUCUUGUUGUGGGGGAACAGUAACUAUGAUGUUAAGGUGUGGAACGUGUGCAGAGAGUCUAGUUGUGGGGGAACAGUAACUAUGAUGUUUAGAUGUGGAACGUGUGCAGAGAGUCUAGUUGUGGAGGAACAGUAGCUAUGAUGUUUAGAUGUGGAACGUGUGCAGAGAGUCUAGUUGUGGGGGAACAGUAACUAUGAUGUUUAGAUGUGGAAGUGGUGUGUGGAACGUGUGCAGAGAGUCUAGUUGUGGAGGAACAGUAACUAUGAUGUUUAGAUGUGGAACGUGUGAAGAGAGCCUUGUGUGUGGAGGAACAGUAACUAUGAUGUUUAGAUGUGGAAGUGGUGUGUGGAACGUGUGCAGAGAGUCUUGUUGUGGAGGAACAGUAACUAUGAUGUUUAGAUGUGGAACGUGUGCAGAGAGUCUAGUUGUGGGGGAACAGUAACUAUGAUGUUUAGAUGUGGAACGUGUGCAGAGAGUCUUGUUGUGGGGGAACAGUAACUAUGAUGUUAAGGUGUGGAACGUGUGCAGAGAGUCUAGUUGUGGGGGAACAGUAACUAUGAUGUUUAGAUGUGGAACGUGUGCAGAGAGUCUAGUUGUGGGGGAACAGUAACUAUGAUGUUUAGAUGUGGAACGUGUGCAGAGAGUCUUGUUGUGGGGGAACAGUAACUAUGAUGUUAAGGUGUGGAACGUGUGCAGAGAGUCUAGUUGUGGGGGAACAGUAACUAUGAUGUUUAGAUGUGGAACGUGUGCAGAGAGUCUAGUUGUGGAGGAACAGUAGCUAUGAUGUUUAGAUGUGGAACGUGUGCAGAGAGUCUAGUUGUGGGGGAACAGUAACUAUGAUGUUUAGAUGUGGAACGUGUGCAGAGAGUCUAGUUGUGGAGGAACAGUAGCUAUGAUGUUUAGAUGUGGAACGUGUGCAGAGAGUCUAGUUGUGGGGGAACAGUAACUAUGAUGUUUAGAUGUGGAAGUGGUGUGUGGAACGUGUGCAGAGUCUUGUUGUGGGGGAACAGUAACUAUGAUGUUUAGAUGUGGAACGUGUGCAGAGAGUCUUGUUGUGGGGGAACAGUAACUAUGAUGUUUAGAUGUGGAAGUGGUGUGUGGAACGUGUGCAGCAGUGGUAAGAGAGGAUUGGAAGCUACAUUCUUUCACUGGCCUUCUGACACGUUUAUCUACUGCAACUUGAGAAAUGUCCUCCCACUUCCUGACAGUGUGUGUGUGUGUGUGUGUGUGUGUGUGUGUGUGUGUGGUUACCUGCUGC